rnacentral:tRNA from 1 species
GCCGAAGUAGCUCAGCUGGUUAGAGCGACGGUCUCAUAAAUCGUAGGUCGGCGGUUCAAGUCCGCCUUUCGGCACCA